AUUGAACGCUGGCGGCAGGCCUAACACAUGCAAGUCGAGCGGAUGAACGGAGCUUGCUCCUGGAUUCAGCGGCGGACGGGUGAGUAAUGCCUAGGAAUCUGCCUGGUAGUGGGGGAUAACGUCCGGAAACGGGCGCUAAUACCGCAUACGUCCUGAGGGAGAAAGUGGGGGAUCUUCGGACCUCACGCUAUCAGAUGAGCCUAGGUCGGAUUAGCUAGUUGGUGGGGUAAAGGCCUACCAAGGCGACGAUCCGUAACUGGUCUGAGAGGAUGAUCAGUCACACUGGAACUGAGACACGGUCCAGACUCCUACGGGAGGCAGCAGUGGGGAAUAUUGGACAAUGGGCGAAAGCCUGAUCCAGCCAUGCCGCGUGUGUGAAGAAGGUCUUCGGAUUGUAAAGCACUUUAAGUUGGGAGGAAGGGCAGUAAGUUAAUACCUUGCUGUUUUGACGUUACCAGCAGAAUAAGCACCGGCUAACUUCGUG
rnacentral:rRNA from 1 species